rnacentral:rRNA from 1 species
ACGGAAGGCAGCAGUGAGGGAUAUUGCACAAUGGGGGAAACCCUGAUGCAGCGACGCCGCGUGAGUGAAGAAGUAUUUCGGUAUGUAAAGCUCUAUCAGCAGGGAAGAAAAUGACGGUACCUGACUAAGAAGCCCUGGCUAACUACGUGCCAGCAGCCGCGGUAAUACGUAGGGGGCAAGCGUUAUCCGGAUUUACUGGGUGUAAAGGGAGCGUAGACGGUAUGGCAAGUCUGGUGUGAAAACCCGGGGCUCAACCCCGGGAUUGCAUUGGAAACUGUCAAACUAGAGUGCAGGAGAGGUAAGUGGAAUUCCUAGUGUAGCGGUGAAAUGCGUAGAUAUUAGGAGGAACACCAGUGGCGAAGGCGGCUUACUGGACUGUAACUGACGUUGAGGCUCGAAAGCGUGGGGAGCAAACAGGAUUAGAUACCCUGGUA